GUCACCUGAUUCAUUCACCUGACGUGUCAUUCACGUGACCUGUUGUAGCAGGUAGAUAGCUACCGGGUUGCAGGCCCUUUGUUUAAAUUGAAUGGCGCGGCAAACACAGUGGUGAGAGCACUGUUUUGCGUGUGGAUUUUUGGCCGGCGGUGAUUUAACAGAGCGGUACACUGCAGUCAUCCUGCCCGUUUGCUUCCCUGGGCUUUUGUGCAACAUUAUCUGCAGUUCGCUUGGAUUUGUUGGUUCCGAGCAAGAGGUCAGCCGACUAAAUGCGUGCAGUUGCGGGGGAUUUUAAAGAGGAACGACCUGUAGCCACUGUUUUUCCCACCGCCAUUGAUUGUGUAACCCAUCAUGUAUUGUGAUGCCUUACCUAAACCGACGAUAUAGUGGUAGCUCGUUUGUAUAGGUAUCCUA